GGGGGCCCACCUUCCCAAAAAAGACAGGCUGUGCCUGCAAGUGUGAAGAGGCUGGGCCCGGCCGAACACUUGAGCACCCCACUGCCAGAGGCGCACAGAAUGACCGCCGGGCCUGGUCAGGUCUGGAGAAAGCUGGAGCCCCCAAGCAGCCAGGCAGAAGGAGAGCAGGUGAGAGGAGCAGGCGGGACAGGGAGGAGACAAAACAUGGACAACAGAGGAAAAAGGAGACUCAGGAGUAUGUGUGAGCAACAGUGACACUUGGUACAGC